GAUGAACGCUGGCGGCGUGCCUAAUACAUGCAAGUCGAGCGAACAGACGAGGCGCUUGCUCCUCUGACGUUAGCGGCGGACGGGUGAGUAACACGUGGAUAACCUACCUAUCAGACUGGGAUAAAUUCGGGACACCGGAGCUAAUACCGGAUAAUAUCUUGAACCGCAUGGUUCAAUAGUGAAAGACGGUUUUGCUGUCACUUCUAGAUGGAUCCGCGCCGCAUUAGCUAGUAGGUGAGGUAAAGGCUUACCAAGGCAACGAUGCGUAGGCGACCUGAGAGGGUGAGCGGCCAGACUGGGAGGGAGACACGGUCCAGACUCCUACGGGAGGCGCCAGUAGGGAAUCUUCCGCAAUGGGCGAAAGCUUGACGGAGAAGCGCGGCGUGAGUGAUGAAGGUCGUCGGAUCGGAAAACUCUGUUAUUAGGGAGGAACAAAUGUGUAAGUAACUAUGCACGUCUUGACGGUACCUAAUCAGAAAGCCACGGCUAACUACGUG
rnacentral:rRNA from 1 species